rnacentral:rRNA from 1 species
GGAAGGAUCAUUAUUGAUUGUGAAUGGUUGCCUUCAGUGCUGGCUCCGGCAAGUGCACGCUGGUGACUUCAAUCCAAUACCCUUGUGAACCAUUGGCCUCUUGCUAGCUUCGGCUGGUAGAGGAUAUUUACACCAACUCGAAUGUAAUGAAAUUAUUGUUGUGCGCAAGCACUAAUGUACAACUUUCAACAACGGAUCUCUUGGCUCUCGCAUCGAUGAAGAACGCAGCGAAAUGCGAUAAGUAAUGUGAAUUGCAGAAUUCAGUGAAUCAUCGAAUCUUUGAACGCACCUUGCACCCUUUGGCAUUCCGAAGGGUAUGCUCGUUUGAGUGUCAUUGUACUCUCACACUUCCAAUUCUUUGGAUUGGGAGCGGUGGACUUGGGCGCUGCUGCUUUACUGUGGCUCACCUCAAAUGCAUUAGUGCAACCCUUGGUUAGACAUAGUACGGCGUGAUAAGUGUCUUCGCUGGCGCCUCACUUAGAGGGUGGCUGAUCAGGGGCUCUGUGCUUCAAACCGUCUUUGGACAAUGGCUGACAACUUGACCUCAAAUCGAGUAGGACUACCCGCUGAACUUAAGCAUAUCAAUAAGCGGAGGAAAAGAAACUAACAAGGAUUCCCCUAGUAACGGCGAGUGAAGAGGGAAGAGCUCAAAUUUUGAAUCUGGCGUCUUUGGCGUCCGAAUUGUAAUCUAGAGAAGUGUUUUCCGUGACGGACCGUGCAUAAGUCUCCUGGAAUGGAGUGUCAUAGAGGGUGAGAAUCCCGUAUAUGGCACGGACUCCCGUUGCUCUGUGAUACACUCUCGACGAGUCGAGUUGUUUGGGAAUGCAGCUCCAAAUGGGUGGUAAAUGCCAUCUAAAGCUAAAUAUUGGCGAGAGACCGAUAGCGAACAAGUACCGUGAGGGAAAGA